UUGUACUUCAAACUAUCAAAAUUCCAGAGGGAAGGCAUAGUUUUUUUUUUACUCAGUUCCUCCUCCUCCUCUUCCUCCUCCUCUGCAGCAAAAGAAGAUGUUGUUUCAGGCAGGAGACCAAGGGACUCGCCCCACCUUCUUCGAGAUGGAGGCGGCUCAGCAGCUUCCCGCCAGUCUCCGCGCCACCCUCACCUAUUCCAUCAACGUGUUAGCUUUACGAAGACCUUCCUCCACAGGGUUCUCGACUACGAGGACGAGUUCUUCUCCUUGCUCAUGCUCGUUCUCGAAACUCAUAGCUUACGAACUACAGGCACUUUUUUGGAAUUCCGACUCUUCUAUCGAUCAGUGGCUGUUCUCUUCUGUUCUGACGUUACUUUGUUCAGGAAUUUGAUUUUGUUUUCUGGGUUAUGUUUGUUUUCUUCGGCAGAUGCUUCGUUUUCCAAAUCACUAUACGGGUUGAGAAGGAAGGCUGUGAAGAUAACCGUGGAUGUUGAGGGGGAUCCACGAGCUGCCUAUUUCAGACAAGCAAAGAACGGCCUAUAUAUAAGGGUUGCUCUCUUGAAACUCCUACUUGUAUGGUGGCUGAUGCCGUUCUGUUUUCAAUUUUUAAGUUUAGGUUGGCUCAGAAGAUAAAAUCUUCAAAUUUUGGCACUUGAUUUCUUCCUUGAUUAUUUCGGACAAGAUUUUGUUACAAAGUCUGGCGGAGUUCAAACUCAAAAAACAAGCGGGUAAGUUGGUUUCAUUUGACUAAUUCUUUGAAAUUUUAAUUUUGGUUUCCCUUGGGUCAUGAUUGUAUGUAAGAACAGAUUCCACGAGUGUAAAACGUCUUCAGCUGAAUUACCCCUUUUGUGUACAUACAUAAAAUGCAUGGAGAUGAUUGUAAAUCAAACCGUAUAAGACCAACAUAAAAUGGAACACAGUGCAAACAAGUACUUCUAAGCUUGAAGGGAAUCAGCAGAUCCUCCGAAAUUGGCAGCGGGAUAUUGAAGGAAAUCAGCAGAUCGAGAAACAAUCUUGAAGCUAUGUUCCGGCCAAACAUCGAUCCAAACAUGCGCUUCUUCUUAUCAAGUAUGACAUUUGUUUCAGAAUUUUCAUUUUUGAGUGAUGAUUAGUUCAUCUGGGCAUCUUUGUACUAUCUUCUGAAUGAUGCUUAAGUUAUUUCUAAAGAAAAACAUUUGUAGUUUUAACCCAAAAAGAGGAAAGAAACAAUUAUUUUCA